AGUGAACGCUGGCGGUAGGCCUAACACAUGCAAGUCGAACGGCAGCACAGUAAGAGCUUGCUCUUACGGGUGGCGAGUGGCGGACGGGUGAGGAAUACAUCGGAAUCUACUUUUUCGUGGGGGAUAACGUAGGGAAACUUACGCUAAUACCGCAUACGACCUACGGGUGAAAGCAGGGGAUCUUCGGACCUUGCGCGAUUGAAUGAGCCGAUGUCGGAUUAGCUAGUUGGCGGGGUAAAGGCCCACCAAGGCGACGAUCCGUAGCUGGUCUGAGAGGAUGAUCAGCCACACUGGAACUGAGACACGGUCCAGACUCCUACGGGAGGCAGCAGUGGGGAAUAUUGGACAAUGGACGCAAGCCUGAUCCAGCCAUACCGCGUGGGUGAAGAAGGCCUUCGGGUUGUAAAGCCCUUUUGUUGGGAAAGAAAAGCAGCAGGUUAAUACCCCGCUGCUCUGACGGUACCCAAAGAAUAAGCACCGGCUAACUUCGUG
rnacentral:rRNA from 1 species